ensembl:lncRNA
GAAGAAAGAAAAAAAGAAGAGUUAAGACUGUGUCAGGUGUGACCACUUUUAGUCUCACCACAAUCUGUGUCACAGAUUCAAACCUUUACAAGUAUAAAAACAUAAAAUAGGUCUGAGCUGGGUCAAGCAUGGAGUGGCUCUUCCUUCCUGAACUGGGUUUCCAUUUACCCAAGUUCGAAGCACUCUCUGGAGAGCUGGAGAAGCCCCCAUCUUCUCUCUUUUUGGAGCUGAACUCCCAAAAGGAUUUCUCUGAGACUUUGGUGCUAUUGAACUUGGAUCUAAGCUUUGAAAUGAUUCUGAAUUCCAAGACCAGCAUCAAGCAUGGAAUCCAUAUGUUGUCUACAGACAACAAUCAACUGGAAACAAAACGUGGCUCUAACUGCUCACCUAAAACAUGUAUCAUGGUGCUGAUGCAAAUAUGAACACUGAACAUUAGACUGGCUAAUCAAACACCCCAGAAAGGGACAUUUCAGUUUGAAUAUAAACACAAGGUGACAAAUGGGCUCCGAAGAGACACAGCUUCACGUAAUGAAAAGCAGUCACAGAAACAAACUUGAACAUUCUGUAUUUAUGUACUUAAUUGUUUCACUUUUUCACCUAAUGCAAAGAUUCUCCUAUUUGUGUGUACUUUUACUCAAGAUAUGAUUGCUGACACAAAAUAAAUAAAUAAAUAAAUAAAUCUUCUGCAUAGCCAGGUACAAAUUCCACAAGAGUGACUCAAAGCAAGGCACACAAAGAAGUAAAAUAUAUGCAUUGUGUGGAUUUUUUCAUUUGUUUCACAAAGCUGUAAAAAACAAAACAUUUACAGCCUUGCCAUUCUGCUACUUCUAUCUCUUUCUCUGAAAAAACAACAAAACACUGUUAUCAUUACGCUACAGUAGAAUUAGUUUGCUUUAAAAUAAAGUGUGUGACACUGCUCAAAAGCAUAUAGUAUACUUACCUCUAUAAUGCUGCAGCCAUGCUUAGGAUCCUAGAAGUACUGUGUAACGUCAUGGCUCUUGGGCUGUCAUAUUCUACCAGAAAUAUAAUAAGAUACUGCAACUUCACUGUCAACAUAACUGCUUUGGAACCAGUCCCUGCUCUGGAAAAAAUAAAAUGAGAAUGGGAAAGGAGUAUUUUAUCUUGCAUUUUGCAAGUGGGGAUUGGGAGAUUUGGCUCCUAAUCCAGAGCUCAUUGAUUCAGUGACAGCCCUUCCCAGUGAUUUGCUGAAGGUCUUCCAAGGAACUUUUUGCAGCAUUAAUCAAAAGUCUGUCUUCACCACAGAGAAAAGAGAUUGCAAAGAAAGGAGGAGAAAGACAGACUUGACACGCUACAUCUUUGGCAAACUCCAGAACAUUUCAUGCUCG